rnacentral:lncRNA from 1 species
UAUAGCGUGUCACAUUACUUUUAAUAUUAAUCUUAAAAAAUAAUUUUAAAAAUUAAAUAUUUUUUCUACCAAUGGAGUUAUUAGUCCCAUAAUUAAGUUAUUCUCUUUCUUCUUCGUUUUCAGCAUAUAAUGAUGCAUAUUAUAUCAUCAUAUGAUAUACACUAAAAUAUAUAGUCAGACGAUACAUACUGUAAGCUUUUUUGAUAUAUAACCAGCAAUGAUCCAAUACACAUCU